rnacentral:piRNA from 1 species
GUGUUCACUUUUUUUUUUACUUCCUCCCCCA